AUUGAACGCUGGCGGCAUGCCUUACACAUGCAAGUCGAACGGUAACAGGUCUUCGGAUGCUGACGAGUGGCGAACGGGUGAGUAAUACAUCGGAACGUGCCCGAGAGUGGGGGAUAACGAAGCGAAAGCUUUGCUAAUACCGCAUACGAUCUCAGGAUGAAAGCAGGGGACCGCAAGGCCUUGCGCUCACGGAGCGGCCGAUGGCAGAGUCGGUAGUUGGUGGGAUAAAAGCUUACCAAGCCGACGAUCUGUAGAUGGUCUGAGAGGACGACCAGCAACACUGGGAGUGAGACACGGCCCAGACUCCUACGGGAUGCAGCAGUGGGGAAUUUUGGACAAUGGGCGCAAGCCUGAUCCAGCCAUGCCGCGUGCAGGAUGAAGGCCUUCGGGUUGUAAACUGCUUUUGUACGGAACGAAAAGACUCCUUCUAAUAAAGGGGGUCCAUGACGGUACCGUAAGAAUAAGCACCGGCUAACUACGUGCCAGCCGCCGCCGUAAUAC
rnacentral:rRNA from 1 species